rnacentral:rRNA from 1 species
UUUAGUGGAAGCGUCUGGAAAGGCGCGCGAUACAGGGUGACAGCCCCGUACACAAAAGCGCAUGUGCUGUGAGCUCGAUGAGUAGGGCGGGACACGUGGUAUCCUGUCUGAAUAUGGGGGGACCAUCCUCCAAGGCUAAAUACUCCUGACUGACCGAUAGUGAACCAGUACCGUGAGGGAAAGGCGAAAAGAACCCCGGCGAGGGGAGUGAAAAAGAACCUGAAACCGUGUACGUACAAGCAGUGGGAGCCCCACCACCAAAGCAUUCUCUGGUGUUGAAGGCCCUGCAAAGCAGCAUCGCGGUGGCGGAGCGUCGUUUGCGACGCCCAACACACAAAACAAGCGGUGAGUGCUUUGGGGUGGGGUGACUGCGUACCUUUUGUAUAAUGGGUCAGCGACUUAUAUUCUGUAGCAAGGUUAACCGAAUAGGGGAGCCGGAGGGAAACCGAGUCUUAAUUGGGCGUUAAGUUGCAGGGUAUAGACCCGAAACCCGGUGAUCUAGCCAUGGGCAGGUUGAAGGUUGGGUAACACUAACUGGAGGACCGAACCGACUAAUGUUGAAAAAUUAGCGGAUGACCUGUGGCUGGGGGUGAAAGGCCAAUCAAACCGGGAGAUAGCUGGUUCUCCCCGAAAGCUAUUUAGGUAGCGCCUCGUGAAUUCAUCUCCGGGGGUAGAGCACUGUUUCGGCUAGGGGGCCAUCCCGGCU